CCCACCCAUAUAUCCCUACAUGACUGUAUGUGUGAACAGGCGACCACUGACAACACGUGAAGGCAACACGGUGUGGGCAUGCGCAGUGAGGACAACAAUACACCGGAAGCUCCAGAGAAUUUAACAUAGCGGUUUCUUCUAUUUUAUUUUGGUGUCUAUCUUCAGUAAUACGUUCAUUUUCACCGACACAAAUGCCCGACCCGAAGACCUUUAAGCAGCACUUUGAAAGCAAACAUCCAAAGUCCUCGAUGCCUCCGGAGUUGGUCAGUGUGGAGGCGUAAUAGAUUCUCCUCUCUUUCAGUAAGACAGUUGGGGCUGAUUCAGGACAGGCUUCUACUUCUACUUUUGCAAUGUUUUGUAUCUUUAGUACAACUUCAGUUAUUCCUCAUGCUGUUUAUUUUAGUUCUUGACAUAUGAGUGUUUUAUGCAGCGGUGUUACUGGAUCUGCCUGCCCAUGGUCUUUCCAAAUUAGAUUUUUUUACAAAACUAUCCUCACUUAGACCAGUACUAAAGGUAGACGCACAGCAGACAACUACCCUCUCUUGGCUUGUGCCAAAAAUAUAUACGUUUUAUCUUUGAUUGUAUGCAAUAUUUCUAUCCUAUCAUUUUAAAAUGUUAUGCUCACAAGAGCAGCUUGUCCACAGGCUCAACCACCAUUAAGGCACAGACACACCAAGCCGACGUCAGAGAACUAGCGGCGAUUAAGGUCGACUUCGGCUUGGUGUGUCAGAGCCUUUAUACCAUGUCAGGGCUCCCACUGUUUCAGGUCAAGCUUUUGAAUUUAGAAGAACAUGUGAACUGGCACUGGCUCAGCUUAACAAUGUUGUAAUACUGAGGUCAUCUGCAUCUAAACCAAAUGUACUGUGAAACCCUUUAUGGAUUUUUAACUGAAGCUAAUUUGAUAUGUGCCAGGGUUGGCACUUAUUCAGAACAACUAAAAUGUGUUCUUUUGAGUAGAUUCAGAUUUCCAGUCUGCACUGAUUUUUUUCCUUGCCUGGAUAAUUUUUAAAAUAAAACUAUAGUUUUUGGUGAUAUGAAGAAUAUAUUAAACAUAUUGCGGUAAACGGGUGCUGACAUUUUCAUGAUAUGUGUCUAGUUCAUGUCACUUUCUCAUGUGCAACAGAGUUAUAAAAGUUGACCAGAGAGGGCACUGCAAGUCUACUCAUAGCAAAUUUUUCCAUGACACAAUUUCCUCCUCUUUUCAUAGAGCAAUGGUAUGACUGCAUAAAACCGGUUCUAUUAUCUUUCACCUUGUGAUAUAGAGUGAUUUUGGGGUGAAGAUAAAAGUUUGCAAUGGGUGCUGUUAAUGAUACCGCUAACAAUCUUCUCCUAUCCUCCCAGUUUGUCAUUGUCAUAAGUACGUGGCACAAUUGUGUGCACCACUGUUGUAUUUGAUCAUGGUUUAGUUCAUCACUGUUGUAUUUCGCAGUAACCUGUCUCACACUGUCACCUCAAUGGCAUCUGUGCACAAAAAAAGUUUCAUGCUCUUGAGUGUUAUCCCGUCAUGGUGGUGCUAAAGUAUUUUGACACUGAACCUACAUCAAAAGUCUACAUUAUACUGUAAGUUAGCUUUGGUUCUUAUUUUUAGAUGAGUUUCUUUUCCUUGCAUGUUAAUAGACAGAGAUUUAAUUUAUACAAAGGAACUAUUUUCAAUACAUUAGGACCUACUGGUCAUUAACCACGGACAUUGUAUCACUGUGCUAAAGUCUGGACUGACAACCAGCCAUGUUUUUACUUUUAUAAUAAUCAUUUCUUUGUCCCCACGAUGUUAUGUGUAGCCUAUUAAUAAAAGUGUUACUUUUAUAUAAACCAUUA